rnacentral:rRNA from 1 species
UACGUAGGUGGCAAGCGAUACUCGGAAUCACUAGGCGUAAAGCGCAGGUAGGGGGUUUGGAAAGUCUCUUGUGAAAGCUCCCGGCUUAACUGGGAGAGGUCAAGGGAAACUGCCAGGCUAGAGUGCGGUAGAGGUAGCUGGAAUUCCCGGUGUAGCGGUGAAAUGCGUAGAUAUCGGGAGGAAUACCUAUGGCGAAAGCAGGCUACUGGACCGUCACUGACUCUGAUCUGCGAAAGCUAGGGGAGCAAACAGG